UCAGACCCCGGGGACACCUAUCACCGUCAACAACAUGAACAUCAUCCGGAGCAUGAACCUCGAUAAUUAUUCACAAGGCAAUGACAAUGAGGCCGGCGGAAGCGGAGGAGGACAAGGUUGAUGGCAUGGUCUUCGUGCACUUUGUCGGAUUGUAUGCUUGUAAUGGAUUGUAAUAUUGGACAUUGCACUAUGGACUCUAUGUAACUUGUGUGGAUGGACUAUGGACUCUAUGUAAUGCAUGAA